CGUAGGUGGCAAGCGUUGUCCGGAAUUACUGGGCGUAAAGCGAACGCAGGCGGAUGGUUAAGUAAGAAGUGAAAGGUCGGAGCUCAACUCCAACACUGCUUCUUAUACUGGCCGUCUUGAGUCCCGGAGAGGAAAGCGGAACUGCACGUGUAGCGGUGAAAUGCGUUGAUAUGUGCAGGAACACCAAUGGCGAAGGCAGCUUUCUGGACGAGGACUGACGCUCAUGUUCGAAAGCCAAGGUAGCGAACAGGAUUAGAUACCCUGGUAGUCUUGGCCCUAAACUAUGUUCACUAGGUGUCGGGGGGUAACCUUCGGUGCCGCAGCUAACGCAUUAAGUGAACCGCCUGGGGACUACGGCCGCAAGGUUG
rnacentral:rRNA from 1 species